rnacentral:rRNA from 1 species
UGGGGAAUUUUGGACAAUGGGCGAAAGCCUGAUCCAGCAAUGCCGCGUGUGUGAAGAAGGCCUUCGGGUUGUAAAGCACUUUUGUCCGGAAAGAAAUCCUUGGCUCUAAUACAGUCGGGGGAUGACGGUACCGGAAGAAUAAGCACCGGCUAACUACGUGCCAGCAGCCGCGGUAAUACGUAGGGUGCAAGCGUUAAUCGGAAUUACUGGGCGUAAAGCGUGCGCAGGCGGUUUGCUAAGACCGAUGUGAAAUCCCCGGGCUCAACCUGGGAACUGCAUUGGUGACUGGCAGGCUAGAGUAUGGCAGAGGGGGGUAGAAUUCCACGUGUAGCAGUGAAAUGCGUAGAGAUGUGGAGGAAUACCGAUGGCGAAGGCAGCCCCCUGGGCCAAUACUGACGCUCAUGCACGAAAGCGUGGGGAGCAAACAGGAUUAGAUACCCUGGUAGUCCACGCCCUAAACGAUGUCAACUAGUUGUUGGGGAUCCAUUUUCCUUAGUAACGUAGCUAACGCGUGAAGUUGACCGCCUGGGGAGUACGGUCGCAAGAUUAAAACUUAAAUGAAUUGACGGGGUCAUAGCUGUUUCCU